CUUCCGAAAUUUCAUUAGAUUUCAAUGUACAAAGGUAACGACAUAAGAAAGUAAAUUUCUCCUUAAUCGUGAAAUCAAAUAGGUUUUACACCUGAAGCCUGCUAAGAAAUUACAGAGAAAUUGACUGCCUUUUGCAUAAAAAUAUCUUGAACACAAAUUUUUAAUAAAUAAAUUUGUUUACAUAAUUUAACGUGAUAUCAGAGCCCCUAAUUGCAAAUCAACCAGAGCUUCAAAGACUAACAAUUUAAGCUUUUAAAUGUUCGACUUGGCUGCAACGGGCAUCUGGAAGACUGACCAAGAAAAAUUACAGUAACGAUGGCGGAAAAAUGAAAAAUAUAUCUCUUCUUCUUUGUUUAUUUUUUCUUGAUCUCUGAAGCAAUAAAUAACAUCUUUCAAGUACCCAAAAUAGCCACGGUUUACCCCCUUCAAAUUACUGAAUGAUAAAAAUUAUAAAUGCUGCAACUAAUAUGAGAAAUUCGUGGGUAAUUUGGAUAAAAAUCUAACAAAAAAAUAUACCCUAAUUAAAUUAAACAACAGAUUAAUCUACUUGUUGUGAAGAGGAUCUGGGCAGUUGGGUAUUUUCCUUUGACUGUCAAAAAAUCUACCAUUUCGACUGGAAACUCUGCCACUGAAGUACCGGCGAAAAAUUUCUGUUUCACUUUUGGUGGAUUCCAUUGUUUGUCUCCGUUUUUCCUCUACCGCUGCACGUUCUUGCAAUAUUCUGAUAGCCCCACCUUUAAUUUCAGUGUAGAACCAAAUUUGCAGCACUGAGAUGAUAAACAGCGCCAUAAUUGUUCUUCUUCCGACGGAAAAUGACAUCGCCGGAGAACCCACAUAAAGAUCAAGAAAACCUAUAACCUCUUCUUGUCUCUCCGGCUAGUUUGGACAAGUUUUGGUCGUUCCGUCGAAAAUUUCUACUCUUUGGCCAGAUUCUAAAUUCUCUCUAUAUGCUCACAUAAACAAGUAUUUAACUGUGUGAAUUGACCGCUCUUUGUUUUACAUUACACGUUCCACAGAGAGAGAGAGAGUAGUCACUCAUGCAACAGAGGGA
rnacentral:lncRNA from 1 species